rnacentral:rRNA from 1 species
GACGAAGGGGGCUAGCGUUGUUCGGAAUUACUGGGCGUAAAGCGCGUGUAGGCGGUUAUCCAAGUCGGGUGUGAAAGCCUUGAGCUCAACUCAAGAAGUGCACUCGGUACUGGGUGACUAGAGGACCGGAGAGGAUAGUGGAAUUCCCAGUGUAGUGGUGAAAUACGUAGAGAUUGGGAAGAACACCAGUGGCGAAGGCGGCUAUCCGGACGGUUGACGUCUAAGUACGCGAAAAGCGUGGGGAGCAAACAGGGAUUAAGAUA